UACGGAGGGUGCAAGCGUUAUCCGGAUUCACUGGGUUUAAAGGGUGCGUAGGCGGCUUAAUAAAUCAUUGGUGGAAGCUCGCAGCUCAACUGCGAAACUGCCAUUGAAACUGUUUAGCUUGAAUGUGGUUGAAGUGGGCGGAAUACAACAUGUAGCGGUGAAAUGCUUAGAUAUGUUUUAGAACACCGAUUGCGAAGGCAGCUCACUAAGCCAAUAUUGACGCUGAGGCACGAAAGCGUGGGUAGCAAACAGG
rnacentral:rRNA from 1 species